CAAUAGCGUAUAUUAAAGUUGUUGCGGUAAAAAAGCUCGUAGUUGGAUUUCUACCGAAGAUAGCCGGUCGGGUCUUCGACCUUGUAUCUGGUUUUGUCUUUGGUAUCCUCAUAGGGAACGUUUCUGCGCUUUAUUGCGUGGUGCGGUAUCUAUGACUUUUACUUUGAGGAAAUUAGAGUGUUCACGGCAGGCAAACGCCUUGAAUAUAUUAGCAUGGAAUAAUAACAUAGGAUCUUCGUCCCAUUUUGUUGGUUUCUAGGGCUAAGAUAAUGAUUAAUAGGGAUAAUUGGGGGCAUCUGUAUCAACGCGUCAGAGGUGGAAUUCUUGGAUUGCGUUGCGACAAACUACUGCGAAAGCAUUUGCCAAGGAUGUUUUCAUUGA
rnacentral:rRNA from 1 species